UACGAGGGGCCCAAACGUUAUUCGGAUUUACUGGGCUUAAAGAGUUCGUAGGCGGUCUGGUAAGUGGGGUGUGAAAGCCCUCGGCUCAACCGAGGAAUUGCGCUCCAAACUGCCAGGCUCGAGGGAGAUAGAGGUGAGCGGAACUGAUGGUGGAGCGGUGAAAUGCGUUGAUAUCAUCAGGAACACCAGAGGCGAAGGCGGCUCACUGGGUCUUUUCUGACGCUGAGGAACGAAAGCUAGGGGAGCAAACGGG
rnacentral:rRNA from 1 species